rnacentral:rRNA from 1 species
GAUGAACGCUGGCGGCGUGCCUAAUACAUGCAAGUCGAGCGAACAGAUAAGGAGCUUGCUCCUUUGAAGUUAGCGGCGGACGGGUGAGUAACACGUGGGUAACCUACCUAUAAGACUGGGAUAACUUCGGGAAACCGGAGCUAAUACCGGAUAACAUUUAGAACCGCAUGGCUCUAAAGUGAAAGAUGGUUUUGCUAUCACUUAUAGAUGGACCCGCGCCGUAUUAGCUAGUUGGUAAGGUAACGGCUUACCAAGGCGACGAUACGUAGCCGACCUGAGAGGGUGAUCGGCCACACUGGAACUGAGACACGGUCCAGACUCCUACGGGAGGCAGCAGUAGGGAAUCUUCCGCAAUGGGCGAAAGCCUGACGGAGCAACGCCGCGUGAGUGAUGAAGGGUUUCGGCUCGUAAAACUCUGUUAUUAGGGAAGAACAAAUGUGUAAGUAACUGUGCACAUCUUGACGGUACCUAAUCAGAAAGCCACGGCUAACUACGUGCCAGCAGCCGCGGUAAUACGUAGGUGGCAAGCGUUAUCCGGAAUUAUUGGGCGUAAAGCGCGCGUAGGCGGUUUCUUAAGUCUGAUGUGAAAGCCCACGGCUCAACCGUGGAGGGUCAUUGGAAACUGGGAAACUUGAGUGCAGAAGAGGAAAGUGGAAUUCCAUGUGUAGCGGUGAAAUGCGCAGAGAUAUGGAGGAAUACCAGUGGCGAAGGCGACUUUCUGGUCUGUAACUGACGCUGAUGUGCGAAAGCGUGGGGAUCAAACAGGAUUAGAUACCCUGGUAGUCCACGCCGUAAACGAUGAGUGCUAAGUGUUAGGGGGUUUCCGCCCCUUAGUGCUGCAGCUAACGCAUUAAGCACUCCGCCUGGGGAGUACGACCGCAAGGUUGAAACUCAAAGGAAUUGACGGGGACCCGCACAAGCGGUGGAGCAUGUGGUUUAAUUCGAAGCAACGCGAAGAACCUUACCAAAUCUUGACAUCCUUUGAAAACUCUAGAGAUAGAGCCUUCCCCUUCGGGGGACAAAGUGACAGGUGGUGCAUGGUUGUCGUCAGCUCGUGUCGUGAGAUGUUGGGUUAAGUCCCGCAACGAGCGCAACCCUUAAGCUUAGUUGCCAUCAUUAAGUUGGGCACUCUAGGUUGACUGCCGGUGACAAACCGGAGGAAGGUGGGGAUGACGUCAAAUCAUCAUGCCCCUUAUGAUUUGGGCUACACACGUGCUACAAUGGACAAUACAAAGGGCAGCUAAACCGCGAGGUCAUGCAAAUCCCAUAAAGUUGUUCUCAGUUCGGAUUGUAGUCUGCAACUCGACUACAUGAAGCUGGAAUCGCUAGUAAUCGUAGAUCAGCAUGCUACGGUGAAUACGUUCCCGGGUCU